rnacentral:rRNA from 1 species
AAAACUUUCAACAACGGAUCUCUUGGUUCUGGCAUCGAUGAAAAACGCAGCGAAAUGCGAUAAGUAAUGUGAAUUGCAAAAUUCAGUGAAUCAUCGAAUCUUUGAACGCACAUUGCGCCCGCCAGUAUUCUGGCGGGCAUGCCUGUCCGAGCGUCAUUU